rnacentral:rRNA from 1 species
UACGUAGGGGGCAAGCGUUGUCCGGAUUUAUUGGGCGUAAAGAGCUCGUAGGUGGUUUGGUAAGUCGGGUGUGAAAGCCCCGGGCUCAACCUGGGAAUUGCAUUCGAGACUGAAUAGCUAGGGGUACGGUAGAGGGAAGUGGAAGUUUCCGGUGUAGCGGUGAAAUGCGUAGAUAUCGGAAGGAACAUCAGUGGCGAAAGCGACUUCCUGGACCAGUGACCGACGGUCAGGCACGAAAGCGUGGGGAGCAAACAGG